AUGACUGGGGCAAGCAGAGACGUGCCCAUGAGUCAGGACUGCAGAAGAGCACUUUUUGCAUGGAAAGGAUAUCAAAAAUGAAGUACUCAAAGAGAACUGCAUCAUGAAGGAGAAACUUGGAUUUGUGAUUCAGGCAAGUCCAGGUUCAAAUCCUGGCUCUGCAAUUUACCAGCUGCAGAAACUUGGAUAUUUAGAACAGAUGAAGAUGAUCCCAAAUAAGGAUAUUUGGUGUCCCUGAAGUAGAGAACUCAAAACUAUGGAAUAGAAAGAGGAAGGACCUUCAAGCAUCUCAAAACAGAAAGUAUCAAAGAACUGAAACUCAUCAGAUCACCACAUCCAGACAGUGAGGCUGGACCACUAAUUCAUCAUGAUUGAUUCCAUGCUCCUCCCUAGUUCCUAGUUUCUGUUUUCUUGCAUAUUGUUACAUUUCUUCCCUGCUAUAUACACCUCUAGUUUUAGUAGUUCAGGGAGAUGGAUUUGAGACUGAACUCCCAUCUCUUUGGCUGUAGCACCCUAUUAAAAGACUUCCUCCUCCGUGAUAAUCCUUGUCUCAGUGAUUGGCUUUCUGUGUGGCGAGUAGCAGGAUCUAGACUGAACCCCUGGAUUUUCAGUAUCAGAAGUACUAUCUUGCCCUAAAGUUUAAGUGAUUAAACCAUUAUUACAUGUAUCAGCUAGGUUUAAGGUUUUAAGAAUAAUUGUUCCAUGGAGUUUAUUAUAUCCGCUUUGAAUCCUAGUAGAUUGAAAUCCUAGUUCUCCCACUUUCUUGCUAGAGACCUAGUGUAAAACAGAGACUCCAAAUUUAUCUUAUUUAUGAAGCAGAAAUAA
rnacentral:lncRNA from 1 species